CGUUAAUUUCAGUAUUUUACUAGGGCGUUGAUGAAGGCUAGUCGUAUUUGAGUGUGAUGUGAAAGACCCCGGCUCAACCUCGGAAGUGCAUCGCUAACCGACAUAACUGAAGUAGGUGGAGAGGGUGGCGGAAUUUCCCUGUUGUAGCGGUGAAAUGCGUAGAGAUCGGAAGGGAACGUCAAUGGCGAAGGCAGCCACCUGGCACCAUACUGACGCUGAGGCGCGAAAGCGUGGGGAGCGAACAGGAUUAGAUACCCUGGUAGUCCACGCUGUAAACGAUGAGAACUAAAUGUUGGGGGGGGAGACCCCUCAGUAUUGAAGCUAACGCGAUAAGUUCUCCGCCUGGGAAGUACAGUCGCAAGACUGAAACUCAAAAGAAUUGACGGGGGCGCGCACAAGCGGUGGAGCAUGUGGUUUAAUUCGAUGCAACGCGAAGAACCUUACCUACCCUUGACAUCCUGCGAAUCUGGCUGAAAGGCUGGAGUGCCGCAAGGAGCGCAGAGACAGGUGCUGCAUGGCUGUCGUCAGCUCGUGUUGUGAGAUGUUGGGUUAAGUCCCGUAACGAGCGCAACCCUUGUCCUUAGUUGCCAUCAUUUAGUUGGGGACUCUAAGGAGACCGCCAGUGAUGAACUGGAGGAAGGCGGGGAGGACGUCAAGUCAUCAUGGCCUUUAUGGGUAGGGGUACACACGUGCUACAAUGGGGGGUACAGAGGGUCGCCAACCCGCGAGGGGGAGCCAAUCUCUUAAAGCGUCUCGUAGUCCGGAUCGGAGUCUGCAACUCGACUCCGUGAAGUCGGAAUCGCUAGUAAUCGCGAAUCAGCAUUGUCGCGGUGAAUACGUUCCCGGGCCUUGUACACACCGCCCGUCACGUCAUGGAAGUAGAUGGUACCAGAAGCAGAUAGUUUAUCCGCAAGGGGGACGUUUGCCACGGUAUGAUUUAUGACUGGGACGAAGUCGUAACAAGGUAACC
rnacentral:rRNA from 1 species